GAUGAACGCUGGCGGCGUGCCUAAUACAUGCAAGUCGAGCGAACAGACGAGGAGCUUGCUCCUCUGACGUUAGCGGCGGACGGGUGAGUAACACGUGGAUAACCUACCUAUAAGACUGGGAUAACUUCGGGAAACCGGAGCUAAUACCGGAUAAUAUAUUGAACCGCAUGGUUCAAUAGUGAAAGACGGUUUUGCUGUCACUUAUAGAUGUAUCCGCGCCGCAUUAGCUAGUUGGUAAGGUAACGGCUUACCAAGGCAACGAUGCGUAGCCGACCUGAGAGAGGGAUCGGCGAAACGGGAACUGAGCCACGGGCCAGACUCCUACGGGAGGCAGCAGUAUGGAAUCUUCCGCAAUGGGCGAAAGCUUGACGGAGCAAAGACGCGUGAGUGAUGAAGAUCUUCGGAGCGUAAAACUCUGUUAUUAGGGAAAAACAAAUGUGUCAGUGACUAUGCACGUCUUGAAGGUACCUAAUCAGAAAGACACGGCUAAAUACGUG
rnacentral:rRNA from 1 species